rnacentral:rRNA from 1 species
AUUCCAGCUCCAAUAGCGUAUAUUUAAGUUGUUGCAGUUAAAAAGCUCGUAGUUGGAUUUUGGGUCGGGGGCACCGGUCCGCCGUUCCGGUGUGCACUGGUGGCCCCUUCCUUUCUGCCGGGGACGUGCGUCGCACUUAAUUGGGUGGCGUUCGGAGUCGGCGUUGUUACUUUGAAAAAAUUAGAGUGUUCAAAGCAAGCCAUCGCUCUGAAUACAUUAGCAUGGAAUAACAUGAUAGGACUCCGGUCUUAUUUUGUUGGUUUCCGAGACUGGAGUAAUGAUUAACAGGGACAGUCAGGGGCACUCGUAUUCCGCCGAGAGAGGUGAAAUUCUCAGACCAGCGGAAGACGAACCACUGCGAAAGCAUUUGCCAGGGAUGUCUUCAUUG